rnacentral:lncRNA from 1 species
UAGUUGUAAUUUAGAUUAAAUUUUAUUUAGAGUGGUUCUGAUGAUAUAAAUUAUGAAUCACAUUUCAAUUGUAACAGAUUCUGAGUCAUAAUUAAUUUUUCAAUUUUGUUAGAAAGCUAAUUACAAAUUUCUUUUCUCUCUUCCAUCAUCUUCUUCAUCUUCAAUUUUGUGCUCCAACAAUUUUUACGCCGAAUUUUUACCCAUGUUGAGUUUGCAAUCUUUAUUUCAGUUACAAUGCUUCAAGAGAAUUAAUCGAUAUAUUUUAUUCUCUCAUCUCUCUUUAUUGCCAUACAAAAUCUUCUCAUUGCAAGUUAGUUAUCCCAACAAUGUAACCAUGUCUCUUAAUUAUAAAGAAAAUAAAAGUGAAAUGCAUUAAAACAAAAAUGAUCACUGUCACCAACAAUUAUGGUUCCAUAUAAACAUUACUAUAACUUACAAGUCAUGAGCAAAACAAUCAAUUAGGCAAUAUAUCACCUCUUCAAAAUAAAGUGAUGGAAAAAAAUCUCUUUACUUAUAGCUUCUAUAAAGUUUUUUUUUUAAUUCAGAUGAAAUUUAUGUUGAUGAUCAAUACCUGAAUUUGUGUUCUAUAAGAAAGUUUAUCUUAUACUAUUUGUUUUCCUGACAUUUCCAAAGCAAACAUAUAAAUCAAAUACUUGUUUUAGUUAAACAAUAAGUUGGAAGAGAAAAAAAGCAAAGGAUAAAACAGAAAAAAAUUACCUUGACUGUCUUCAACUAUACAAACGUCAAGAAUACACCUAAGCAAUAUUCUAUAAUAGUAGGAAAUUCCUGAUGCAAAUGUAUACUAUGUCCCAAUCACAUGCAUUUCAAAUUG